ACCGAAAUAGCUUAGUUGGGAGAGCCUUAGACUAUAGAGCGAAAAGACCCUAGUUCGAUCCCGGUUUCCGGUA
rnacentral:tRNA from 1 species